UCACAUAGGUGUUUCUUUUUU
rnacentral:piRNA from 1 species